GUAGAUGCUGGUCUAACACGAAAAAUCAGAUGAUGAAGGGAGAAAUAGCCUUGAAAGCCAGAUUAUCCUUGUGACAGGAGAUUCGCCAGAUUCUUUUACUUCCCUUCAGUCUGUCAGCUCAUGAUCCUAGAGGGCACAGAUUUUAGAUUUUUCUGAUGCUAGCUCUUUGUGAUGGACAGGAUUAAGGGAAGUUUAAACACUCCAGCACAGACAGUGCAAUAUCUUGUAUGUAUUAGCUCAAGCUCCAUGCUAGGUGAGGACCACUGCCCAAGGAGGAAUUUAUACAACACAGGCACUCGGCUCGCUUUCAAUCAUAAAGGCCCAAUUCUAGAAGCUCUGACAAUCCUUAAGUGGAAGAGUCUUUAAGGAUUAACGAAACGAACAUCAGAAAUGUGUUUUCACUGGUAAAAUUAAGGAUUUUAAGUGAACAUCUUAGAUGCUAUCAGUGGGUGCUCACUGGGUAACUUGGUGGUAUUCAAGACACACGGCUAGGCCAGAGCCUGGUAGACAGAGGUCUCUGCGCUUGCAGGAAGAGCGUGUAGGGUCUUCCUCUUCCUAGCAGAUGGUGAGGCCUGUAGCACACACUUAGGAUGAUAGCAGAACCUUGGUCUCCUGAUGCUGCCUCUAGAUUUGCGUCACACCUGCCUCAUCCCAACCUUCUAUGAAAGCCAAGGUUAAAAGGGCAGAAACCUAUGACCCAUCCAGCUUGCAAAAAUGCUUUGUCUAAAUCAUUUAUGCCUGCUUGUUAAUAAAUAUGUUUAAAUAAUAUGUCUAAUGUGUGUGGUACCACUUGGUCAGAGACUUGCUUACAUUAUAACCUGGCCUUCAAAUGCAUGAGGCAAACCCCUUGAUCGCCCUGGUGUUUUAAGCUCUUUCUAGAUGUAGCACGAGAAGGGGCAACUGAAGCAGAGAAUGGCAGCCUCACUGAGUGGAUGUGAUGAGAUUGGAGUUAGGGCUGAUGACAUGGCUGGAAUUUACAGAGUGGAGUUCUAGAGAGUGGAGGUCAUCCGGAGGCACUUCAGAAAUCUGCACAAGGACCUCCUGAAUCUUUGGCUGAAUAUCAAGUGGCGUGUAUGCAGGACAAGAAUCCAUGAAGGUGGGCAGUGAAUAAAUACUGUGGAGCUGUGACCUGAACUGAGAUUCUAGAGCUUGAACAGAACUGAGAGACGCCAUUGUAAGUGGAGAGACCACUUUGAUAAUUCUGCACACUAAGCAACGCACAAAAAAGACUAGACCUUUCCUGUGUGGCAACUAUCUAGUAUAUACUAGUCUAUACAUCUAGUAUAUGUCAAGUAUAUACCAGUAAAUAUCAGGGAACAUAGAAAAACUAGUCAAAUUGAAGCAUGCAGAGAAAAGAGGUGAAAAAAAAAUCACUGAACAGAGCUUUAAUGACCUGUAGGAUAAUAUCAAGGCUAACAUACAUUUUAGAGUCCUUGAAGAGAGGAGAGUGAGACAUGGGGGCAGACAAAAAUAUUUUAAGAAAUGUUAGCCAAAAUCUUUACAAAUUAGAUGAAAAAGAUAAACGCAUACAUUCAGGAAGCUCAAGAAACCUCAGGUAGGAUAAACAAAAGGAAAUCUACACUAAGGCUUGUCAUGAGAAAUUUGCUGGAAACCAACGAUGAAAAUAAAAUUUUAGAAGCAGCCAAAGAAAAGACACAUUACAUACGGAAGAACAAUCAUACAAAUUUUAGCUGACUUCUCAUAAAAAACAAUGUGAGCCAAAAGACAGUGGAAUGGCAUCUUUAAAGUACUGAAAGAAAAAACUGUCUACCUAGAAUUCUAUGUCCAGGGAAAAUAUCCUUCAAAAAUGGUGAAAUAAACUCAUUAUCAGAUGAACAAAAGCUAACAAAAUUCAUCGUAAGCAGAACUUCACAAGAAUGGAAGUUCCUAAGAAGAAGGAAAAUGAUAAAUGAAAAUCUAAAUCUACGCAAAGAAACGAAGAACACUUUAAAUGUUCCAUGGGUCAGCUGCGUGGCUCUUCUGGUCUAGGCUAGCUUGGCUGAAUUCAGAGGUGAGCAGGUGGCUGGGCUGGGGUUGGAUGCUCUAUGAUAGCCUUACUCACAGGACAGGUGAUUGGCAGGCUGGGUGGCCUAGGGAAUCUCAGCUGAGGAGGAGAAGAGGGUACCACAUGGCCUUUCAUCCUCAGUAUACAGUCUCAGGUUUCUUCAUGUGGUUUCAGGGUUCCAAAGAGCAGAAAGAAAGGGCAAGGACCAAUGCAUGUGCUACUUGUGUCAGAUGAGUUAUUGGCCCCCUGGCCAAAGCAAGUCACAUGGCCAAACUCAGAGUCAGUGGGGGAUGGGUCUACAGGAUGG
rnacentral:lncRNA from 1 species